rnacentral:rRNA from 1 species
GGCACCACCAGGAGUGGAAUCUGCGGCUUAAUUUGACCCAACGCGGGAAAACUCACCAGGUCAGGACACGGUAAGGAUUGACGGACUGAAGGCUCUUUCUCGAUUCCGUGGAAAGUGGUGCAUGGCCGUUUUUGGUUGGUGGAUCGAUCCGUCUGGUUAAUUCCGUUAACGAACGAGACCUCGGCACUCCGAAUAGCGCGGCGGACGUCGCGGCCUCCGGGCCGUCUUCCGCACGAGCUUCUUAGAGGGACCGUCCCCCGCCGGGGAAGGAGGUGCGAGGCAACGACAGGUCUGUGAUGCCCUUAGAUGUUCUGGGCCGCACGCGCAUUACACUGACGCGUCCAACGGGUGACUCCCGACCCGAAGGGGCCGGGGAAUCCGCAAGGCGCGUCGUGAUGGGGAUUGAACGUUGCAAUUGUUGUUCACGAACGAGGAAUUCCUAGUAGGCGCGGGUCAUCAACCCGCGCCGAUUACGUCCCUGCCC